UUAUGACUCCGACGACUCCACCGCCCGCCUCAUCGGCGUGGAGUAUAUAAUAUCAGAGCGAAUUCUUGACGCCCUUCCACCUGAUGAGCAGAAGCUUUGGCAUUCUCACGGGUACGAGAUCACAUCAGGGCUGUGGAUGAACCCUCGAGUUCCUGAGAU